rnacentral:lncRNA from 1 species
ACUCAAUACCAAAAACAACCUUGUGACGUAGAUACUAUCACCUCCAUUUCCUGAAGAGUAAAACUGAACGAUACAGUAGUUUUAAGGAACUUUGCCAAAGUCACAAAAUUCUAAGUUGCAGAAGCAAGAUCAGAGCUAGGCACUCUGAUUCCAGAGCCCAUUUUCCUAAACAAAACAGCAAAUGCUUUGGUAAACUCUAAAAUCUGUGUCGUCGUUAGGCAGGGAAUAAGCAUCAAUUGUCUUCUUUUGGAAACUUUUAUUUACUCUUUAUAUUGUGACAAACUGGCAUACUUAUUAUGUUCUCCAUGACUGUUUACAACAUAGCCUAUGUCAUCAUCUCUAAGUCUCUUUAACAGUGACUGAAAUCAGGAGAAAGCAAUUGUGUCAUAUGCCUGGAGGAGAAUAAGCUCUUUCUACUUAGCUUCAUCUCCUGAUGCACAUUACUAGCAGGAUGGCUGACUAUUAGAAUGAACUAAUCCCUCUUCCAGCAUUGUGAAUCCAUCUAAAGGAUGCCUGAAGGUGAAGAGGAAAUGAAAUGCCUUACACUCUGCAGAGUGUUCUGUGGAAAGUCCUGAUAAUCAGCCAGGGCCGCUUGAGAGACCAUUUCUAACACAGCUGCUGAUGAUUUCAACGUCUGUGUGGACUAGGUGUGAUGUUUAUCUGGACUCUAAAGAAUAUACGAAUUGCUUUGAUGCUUGUGCUAAGGUGACAUCACCGCACAGGACACAGAUGGGAAAGCUAAAGCUCAGGGAAAUGAAUUAAUUCCACAAUCGUCUUUCAAUUUUGUCAAAAGAAUAAACCCUUUUUUGUUUUGUUUUAUUUUUACUUUUUCCUAUGCCAAAGGAUAUUAUUAAACAUUUAAUAUCAACUACUCAAAGCCUAUGCAGACACGCGGGAAUCCUUUUAAGAGACCAACCACAAGAUGGCAGUGUUUUCAGAGGACAGAUUGAUUUCCAGAUAGUAAAGCGCCACACACAUUUCUACUGGACGUACCCUGUGUAAAAUGGUAAAUAAUUAUUUCAGGAUGUGAUUCAGAUGGACAGCGAUGUGGAGGAGGAUUUUCCAAUCUUUACCUGAAAAGUAAUCAAAUAUAACUAGGAAUAUUUGGACUGAUUAUAUAGGAAAAAAGAGGCUACCAGAUAUUAAGAAAUGAAGGAAAGAAUAGUACUGUAAAGCAUAAUAAUUAAAAUAGAGUGAAAACAGAGAAAGUAUGGG